rnacentral:rRNA from 1 species
CAGCAGCCGCGGUAAGACAGAGGAUGCAAGCGUUAUCCGGAAUGAUUGGGCGUAAAGCGCGCGCAGGUGGUUUAAUAAGUCUGAUGUGAAAGCCCACGGCUCAACCGUGGAGGGUCAUUGGAAACUGUUAAACUUGAGUGCAGGAGAGAAAAGUGGAAUUCCUAGUGUAGCGGUGAAAUGCGUAGAGAUUGGGAGGAACACCAGUGGCGAAGGCGGCUUUUUGGCCUGUAACUGACACUGAGGCGCGAAAGCGUGGGGAGCAAACAGGAUUAGAUACCCCCGUAGUCCCUGUCUCUUAUAA